GACGAACGCUGGCGGCGUGCCUAACACAUGCAAGUCGAACGGAAAGGCCCUGCUUUUGUGGGGUGCUCGAGUGGCGAACGGGUGAGUAACACGUGAGUAACCUGCCCUUGACUUUGGGAUAACUUCAGGAAACUGGGGCUAAUACCGGAUAGGAGCUCCUGCUGCAUGGUGGGGGUUGGAAAGUUUCGGCGGUUGGGGAUGGACUCGCGGCUUAUCAGCUUGUUGGUGGGGUAGUGGCUUACCAAGGCUUUGACGGGUAGCCGGCCUGAGAGGGUGACCGGCCACAUUGGGACUGAGAUACGGCCCAGACUCCUACGGGAGGCAGCAGUGGGGAAUAUUGCACAAUGGGCGGAGGCCUGAUGCAGCAACGCCGCGUGCGGGAUGACGGCCUUCGGGUUGUAAACCGCUUUCGCCUGUGACGAAGCGUGAGUGACGGUAAUGGGUAAAGAAGCACCGGCUAACUACGUG
rnacentral:rRNA from 1 species